CCCUUAGACGUUCUGGGCCGCACGCGCGCUACACUGACGAAUGCAACGAGCUUAUAACCUUGGCCGAAAGGUCUGGGUAAUCUCCAAAUUUCGUCGUGAUGGGGAUAGAUUAUUGCAAUUAUUAAUCUUCAACGAGGAAUGCCCAGUAAGUGCAAGUCAUAAGCUUGCGUUGAUUACGUCCCUGCCCUUUGUACACACCGCCCGUCGCUACUACCGAUUGAACGUUUUAGUGAGGUACUCGGACUGAGCCUCAGAAGAUUCACGUCUUUUGUGCUGCUCGGGAAGAUUCCCAAACUUGAGCGUUUAGAGGAAGUAAAAGUCGUAACA
rnacentral:rRNA from 1 species